ACAGUACAAACUGAACAGGCCGCGGAUUCAGAAUUGAAUUUGGGAGCCGGGCUGCGCAAUGCGGCAGCAGAUGGAGUUUCAUGCAUCUGUGGGACAGU
rnacentral:ncRNA from 1 species